rnacentral:rRNA from 1 species
GCUCGCGUCUGAUUAGCUGGUUGGUGAGGUAACGGCUCACCAAGGCGACGAUCAGUAGCCGGUCUGAGAGGAUGAAUGGCCACACUGGAACUGAGACACGGUCCAGACUCCUACGGGAGGCAGCAGUGGGGAAUCUUCCGCAAUGGGCGAAAGCCUGACGGAGCAACGCCGCGUGAGUGAUGACGGCCUUCGGGUUGUAAAGCUCUGUGAUCGGGGACGCGGUACCCGAAUAGCAAGCCACGGCUAACUACGUGCCAGCAGCCGCGGUAAUACGUAGGUGGCAAGCGUUGUCCGGAAUUAUUGGGCGUAAAGCGCGCGCAGGCGGUUCUUAAGUCCAUCUUAAAAGUGCGGGGCUUAACCCCGUGAUGGGAUGGAAACUGAGAGCUGGAGUAUCGGAGAGGAAAGUGGAAUUCCUAGUGUAGCGGUGAAAUGCGUAGAUAUUAGGAGGAACACCAGUGGCGAAGGCGGAUUGCUGGACGACAACUGACGGUGAGGCGCGAAAGCGUGGGGAGCAAACAGGAUUAGAUACCCUGGUAGUCCACGCUGUAAACGAUGAAUACUAGGUGUGCGGCGUGCCGCAGCUAACGCAAUAAGUAUUCCACCUGGGGAGU